AUUGAACGCUGGCGGCAUGCCUUACACAUGCAAGUCGAACGGUAACAGGUCUUCGGACCCUGACGAGUGGCGAACGGGUGAGUAAUGCAUCGGAACGUGCCCAGUCGUGGGGGAUAACUGCUCGAAAGAGCAGCUAAUACCGCAUACGACCUGAGGGUGAAAGCGGGGGACCGUAAGGCCUCGCGCGAUUGGAGCGGCCGAUGUCAGAUUAGCUAGUUGGUGGGGUAAAGGCCUACCAAGGCAACGAUCUGUAGUUGGUCUGAGAGGACGACCAGCCACACUGGGACUGAGACACGGCCCAGACUCCUACGGGAGGCAGCAGUGGGGAAUUUUGGACAAUGGGCGCAAGCCUGAUCCAGCAAUGCCGCGUGCAGGAAGAAGGCCUUCGGGUUGUAAACUGCUUUUGUCAGGGAAGAAAUCUUCUGGGCUAAUACCCCGGGAGGAUGACGGUACCUGAAGAAUAAGCACCGGCUAACUACGUG
rnacentral:rRNA from 1 species